AGGACGAACGCUGGCGGCGUGCUUAACACAUGCAAGUCGAGCGAGGCCUUCCCUUCGGGGGAGUGCCCUAGCGGCGAACGGGUGAGUAACACGUGGGCAACCUGCCCCUAGCACUGGGAUAACUCCGGGAAACCGGGGCUAAUACCGGAUAUGACCUUUGAGGGCAUCCUCUUUGGUGUAAAGGAUUCUGGCUAGGGAUGGGCCCGCGGCCUAUCAGCUUGUUGGUGGGGUAAUGGCCUACCAAGGCGACGACGGGUAGCCGGCCUGAGAGGGCGACCGGCCACACUGGGACUGAGACACGGCCCAGACUCCUACGGGAGGCAGCAGUGGGGAAUAUUGCACAAUGGGCGAAAGCCUGAUGCAGCGACGCCGCGUGAGGGAUGACGGCCUUCGGGUUGUAACCUCUUCAGUACCGACGAAGCGAAGUGACGGUAGGUACAGAAGAGCACCGGCCAACUACGCGCCAGCAGCCGC
rnacentral:rRNA from 1 species